AUUGAACGCUGGCGGCAUGCCUUACACAUGCAAGUCGAACGGCAGCACGGGUGCUUGCACCUGGUGGCGAGUGGCGAACGGGUGAGUAAUACAUCGGAACGUACCUUAUCGUGGGGGAUAACGCAGCGAAAGCUGUGCUAAUACCGCAUACGCCCUGAGGGGGAAAGCGGGGGAUCGCAAGACCUCGCGCGAUUAGAGCGGCCGAUGCCUGAUUAGCUAGUUGGUGGGGUAAAAGCCCACCAAGGCGACGAUCAGUAGCUGGUCUGAGAGGACGACCAACCACACUGGGACUGAGACACGGCCCAGACUCCUACGGGAGGCAGCAGUGGGGAAUUUUGGACAAUGGGGGCAACCCUGAUCCAGCAAUGCCGCGUGAGUGAAGGAGGCCUUCGGGUUGUAAAGCUCUUUUGUCAGGGAAGAAACACCGGCUCUGACACAGUCCGGGAAUGACGGUACCUGAAGAAUAAGCACCGGCUAACUACGUGCCAGCAGCCGCGGUAA
rnacentral:rRNA from 1 species